UAGAGGGUCCCACAAAGGUAGAUAGGUUUUCCAUGAUAUGGGGAAACCUGGGAGCAAUGUUGAACUUUGUAAAGGUGAUGAAAUCCUACUAACCAUAAAAAAUAUUAAGCUCUAUGAUGCAGGCACUCACACCCUCGGACUACAAAGGACGAGGACAGACAUGCUGGGUGUGUUUUCUAUUAAGGUACUGCCAAGACCAGAGGUAACCGGACACACUCCUCUACCACCACUGUGUUAAAAAUACCAUUCAGGUAAUUAAUGUUAGAGACUAUUCGGCUAUUGAUCAAUUAGGAACUGGGACUGGUUUUGAUUAUGGGAGAUUGCCUGAAGCUGAUUGCAGUAGUAACAUAACCAUUAAUUCCACUUGGCCAGUUACAGGCCUAAACCAAACUAGUGGUCUGGCUGAUGUGAGGUGGAUGUGUGGAGCCAAAAAGAGUGCUGAGACCCAUUCUUAGAGGAGAAUGGCAAGGUACGUGUGGUCUGACCAGUUUGAUAAUUCCACUGACCAUUGUUGAUGUACUGCUGAACAGCUGUUGGGUUCUGUAUCCAGGGGACCUGAAAACAUUCCAUCCCAUGGGAGACAUAGACGUAGUGCUCCAUGGACAGAGGAUGUAGUUGACAUACACUAACCUGUUGGGAGUGCCAGUGGGGGUUCGUCAUGAGUUUCAGGCCUUGGGUAGGAAUGAUGGACUCUGGCACUUACUACCUAUUAUGGGUCCAGCCAUGGUGGAUGCUAGACAGACUGCUUGGAUUAAUUAUAUCUACUAUAAUCAACAGCGUUUGGUGAAUUACUCCCGUGAUGCACUCACUGGUAUGUCUGAACAGCUUGAGGCCACAUUUGGGGUUUCCAGACAGAAUAGACUUGCCUUGGACAUGCUUCUUGCCAGUCAGGGGGACGUCUGCAAGAUGUUCGGUAAACAACGUAUAUUCCUAAUAAUACCAGUCCAGAUGGUGGUAUAUCUAAGGCGGGCUUGAUGCACUAUCUGCUAAGAUGAGGUCCACAGAGGGGGUGGAGGAGUCUGUUCUCUUGGCCUGGUUUGGUAAGUACACUGGUAUGAUGGUUACUGGAUUUCUGACCCUAAUUCUUGUAUUAUUUGUUAUUGAUGUGAUAUGCCGCUUGCAUCAUACUGUGUUUUAAGAAGUCUGUUACAGAUGUGAUGAAGGCUUCAGGGAGGAUGGGACUGACUGAGGAUGACACAUGGUAUGCUGUGGGUGAGGUAGUAGAAUGAUUUUACACCACCACAGUUCCUUGUUAUACAUUUUUAUGAUAGGUUUUCUUUCCAGUAUGUUUGUUCUCCCUGUUGUGAAGGUUUGGAGUCCCUGGGUGGCAAGGAGCCCACCUGGUACAGGAUAGGAGUAGCUGAGAGGACCAGAUGGUUUCUAAUAAUUCUUUACUCUGUUUUCCAUGACCAAAGUUUUAUCCUACAUCUUACAUGUCAAUAACAAUAAAGUUUUAUCCUGUUUUUGAUAAGUGACACCCUUGCGGGUGACAAAAGGGGGAAACAAAAGCAUACAACAAAGGCACAUAUCACUUGUUAUUAAUAAUACACUUUUUAUUAUUUUCAUGAAAUGCUAUGACUGCUGAAAUAAAGGAUAAUGAGUGACACCCUAGCGGGUGUCAAAAGGGGGACUUAAAUUUCACACUAUUUUCUUUUGUUCAGUUUUUGAAUGAGCUGUUCUCUUUUGACAUGAAGGUAGUUUAAACUUUAACUGUUAUAUGAUUCAUUGCUGAAAAUGUGUUCACACCCUUGGGGUUAUUUUACAUUAUAGCCAUUACCAUAUAUAAGAUUGAAUAUUAUCUGCUGUUGCCUUGUGUGGAGGUAUGUAUGUGUUAUGCUACCUAGCUGAUUUGAAACAUUGUUAAAAGUAUCAGGGCCAUGGGACUUUCUCAUGAUGGAAAAAUACAGAGUAGCAUGAAGACUAACUGUUCAAAUGAGUUAGAAGGGAGGGAACAUUCAGAGCGGGGUGUUGCGAGAACAAGCGGUCUUUUGUUAGAUAACAGGAGCCAGGUGGGAGAUAACGGUAUGGAGCAUGAGACCCAUCUUUCAGUUUUUGCAGCCAUUUUAGUAGGGGGAUCCAGUUGCUUAUAUUGAUUAAGCUUCUCCAUUGUAUGUCGUGUCCCAUCUGGGAUGGGAAGAGGGGGCAUUGCGGUCUUUGUGGGCCAUUUCCGUAUAGACUUACCUAGUAUAGGCUAUUUUUCCUUUUUGGAUUAUGUUUUCAUUUUUGCUUGUAGUAAUGUAUCUGGACUAUAUCACAUCUCUUAGGAGAUGUGAAGAGAGGGUAUCACAACUUUUUCCGGCUGGAAAAAGUUGGCUUAUGUAGAAUAUCAUUUUUCCUUUUAUUUUGAGCUGUUGAUCUCCGCUCUGUUACAUGAGGGUUGUAAGUUCCUAGGUGGCUGGUAGCCAACUUAGUACAUAGUGGGAUUGAGUUGGGAACAUGGUGGGAAUACAUAUACAUCCAUUUCUUUUUAAUGUUGUGCCUUAUUUCAUAGCCCCUUUGGGAAAAGUUUUCUUUUGUAUCAGAAUCUAGUUAGGUUGUGUCACGUCUCUGGGGAGACGUGAAGAGAGGGAUUUGUAGAGGACUGCUAAUUCUUAUGUAGGUGACAUUACACUACUAUAGCUGGGACAACGUAUUUUCAUAGUAAAACAGGUUGGGCCCCAUACAGGAUAUUUCUCACACACACACUCAUUUAGAUCAUCCAGAACACUGUCACAACAGGAUACUCCUAGCCACAGGUGCUAGCCGGCAGUUCGGCCACAACUCCCCUGUAGAUAGGGACGCACACACAUUACACACGGACUCUUGAGGACAGGACAGGGACGCAUACGCUCUUACACACUGACCCCAGAAGACAGGGACGACGCACAUACAGUACACACAUAGCUGCCGAGGACACCCAGAUAAGACACCCACAGAUUGGCAGAAAGCCUAGACUUAGAGACAAACUAGCACACACACAUAAUCUCCCUCCCAGCCGAACAUUGUGUGACUGAAGAUAGCGCACACACCAGAUCUCCUUUCCAGCUGAACAUGGUGUGACGACCAAGAACAGGCAUGGCAGGAUUCUACGAUGACGGACAGACAACAGAGCCAAUGCCGGAUGACUACACCCCAGCCUGAUCCAAUCCGAAGAUCCGAUCUCCUAGAAAUCAACCUACUUUCUGUUGUGUAUAUGAAGCUUGUACUCACUGUUAGCAAGGGUCCUUUUUGCUAGUCUCUGAUGAGCUAACAGAGGGGCCCGUAUAUACGCUGUACCAGAUAUCUUUACUCUGAAUAAACCUGUCGCUUGUCGUACAAUCUACCACCUUGUCUGAAUCGAUCCUUAACCGGCUCACCCUUCUACAUAUCCUUUUAU